CCGACUCGUUUUCUCGACCCGUGUUGCAGCGACGAUGACCCAGCCCUCUCUCCACUUUCCGGCUACCUCUCCAUGUCUGACCGGUGUAGUUCGACUCCUCUCGGCGGCGUGAAGUAGAACCCGGUCGUUCCGACUCCGAAAGACCGGCGACGGUCGCAGAGCAAAGCCCAAAAGCUUCCUGGAUUUUCCGGUGUAGUUUCCGAUUCCGGCCACAUCGAGGCAUCUCACCAGUAUGGAUGCAUGGCUUCGUCUUGAUGUCCCCUUCAUGUCUGUGGUCUCAGUUUCUUCAGAGAAUCUUCCUAGAGAGAGAAUCGAAUGAAUAAAGGUUUUGGAUUUUCCAGCGAGUUUACAUGUUUUUUGAUGACCUUCGAUUUCAACUUAGAUAUCAAAGUUGGUCUACUCAUCGAGCUCUACAAGGUGGUAUAAUCAAUUUACAGUUUUGGUUAAGAUUUGAGGAAUUGGUAUUUUGAGGUUUCAUGUUCUUUACGGGUUCACUGUUGGUAGUGUGAUUUUGAUGUUCUUUGCUUCUUUUUGAAUACAAAGAAACCGCAUAGCUGAAUUGUGGUUGUUGAUUAUACUUGAAAUGCAGAAAGAUGGAAAAUUUGAGUAUUAGGAUGGAUGGUUGAUCUGUGUUGCUUGAGGGGUGAAGAACAGUAGCUAGUUUGUGAAUCAGAACUAUGGAGCUGUUGUUCAUUUCGACUGUUGCUCACUUCUGUUCAUGUUUUGGUAGACAAGUGAAGUAGUAGGUUUACUUGAAAUCCAGAAAAUGAAGAAUGUUCUUGACAGCAAGAUUUGGAUAGUGUUGGUAGAAAAUGCACUUUGAUUGAGUUAUGGGAAGUAAGAUGGUUAAUUUGAAAGGAAAUAAUGAAGAUUUGGGUGUCUUUAGUACAUUAAGGGAUUUGGUCAAUUUCAUAAUUUAGAAUAAUUGAUCGUAUUGAUUUGAAGUGAUUCGCCGACUGUCAUUGAUUGAAGAUGAUACGAAGAUUGAAUGAUUACUGGCAAUCCCAGAAGCAGAAGGAUACUGAUUUCAGAAUGCAAGUUGCAGCAUUUCUAACUCUGAGCAGCGUUGCAGUUAAACCGUGAAAGUCAAGGUGGCCUAAUAAAGCUGUACGAUUUUGGUAAUCGAGGUUAAGCGAGAUGAUCAACUAGCAAAAAGGGAAUGUGGAUUGAAUUGUUACUAGGUGUUAGAUCAUAUAUUCGAAACAUCUAGAGUCACCCCCGGUUGGUAAAAUACACGGUAAUAGACGUGCAUGCUCUCUUGUUUUGAUACUGGACUAACGGGUGUGACAUGCACGAGUUUUGAGAAGUUUAAGCGAGACGACGUUUACGAUUGCAAGACUCUAAACAGAAUUACAAGAGUGAGUGAGAUUAGAAAACGAGGUGUAAAUUCGUUUUGAGUUUUGUUAUUUCAAAUGUCUUAUUUUCUAAGAUUUCUGAAAAUGUAUUUGGUGUUAUCUUUAAUUUUAUUUACAUUUUUAUGCUCA